GCAGGGAUACCCAAGCCCGGUCUAAGGGGCUAGCUUCAGACGCUAGUGGCUUAGUGCCUUCAGCGGUUCAAAUCCGCUUCCCUGCA
rnacentral:tRNA from 1 species